rnacentral:lncRNA from 1 species
GGGGGGAAUAAGGAGAGAUGGGGGAAUAAGGAGAGAUUGGGAGGGGGGAAUAAGGAGAGAUGGGGGGAAUAAGGAGAGAUUGGGAGGGAUAAGGAGCGAUGGGGGAUAAAGAGAGAUUGGGAGGGGGGAAGGAAAUUGGAGAGGGGGGAUAAAGAAAGAUUGGGGGGAGAUAAAGAAAGAAAGAAAUUGGGAGGGGGGAGAGAAAUUGGGAGGGGGAAGGAAAUUGGAGACGGCGAUAAAGAAAGAAAUUGGGAGGGGGAGAGAGAAGGGAAAUUGGAGUAGGGGAGAGAUUGACAUUCAUCACACACAAUGCACCCCUUGCACACAGAAAAAACACACAAUGCAUUACACACAC